UUCCAGACUCCUACGGGAGGCAGCAGUGAGGAAUAUUGGUCAAUGGGCUUACGCCUGAACCAGCCAAGUCGCGUGAGGGAAGACUGCCCUAUGGGUUGUAAACCUCUUUUGUCAGGGAGCAACGCCGGCUACGUGUAGCCGGACUGAGAGUACCUGAAGAAAAAGCAUCGGCUAACUCCGUGCCAGCAGCCGCGGUAAUACGGAGGAUGCGAGCGUUAUCCGGAUUUAUUGGGUGUAAAGGGUGCGUAGGCGGUAAUACAGGUCUGUGGUAUAAGCCCGAAGCUUAACUUCGGUUCGCCACAGAAACCGUAUAACUAGAGUAUGGUAGAGGCAAGUGGAAUUUCUAGUGUAGCGGUAAAAUGCGUAGAUAUUAGAAGGAACACCAGUGGCGAAGGCGACUUGCUGGGCCAAAACUGACGCUGAGGCACGAAAGCGUGGGGAGCGAAUAGGAUUAGAUACCCGAGUACUG
rnacentral:rRNA from 1 species